AAGUUCAGGUGAAUGAUGCCUGGCUCGAGACCAUUCAAUCUCAUGAUCUCAUGAUUAUAACGAUGAUGAUGAUGAUGUCGGACCAGGCUUCAUUCCCCUCAACUU
rnacentral:pre_miRNA from 1 species